rnacentral:rRNA from 1 species
UACGGGGGGAGCAAGCGUUGUUCGGAUUUACUGGGCGUAAAGGGCGCGUAGGCGGCCAGCACAAGUCAGUUGUGAAAUCUCCGAGCUUAACUCGGAAAGGUCAACUGAUACUGUGCGGCUAGAGUUCGGUAGGGGAGACUGGAAUUCCUGGUGUAGCGGUGAAAUGCGUAGAUAUCGUAAGGAAGACCAGUGGCGAAGGCGG